GCAGGUUCAGCCGAACUUUGAAAAAAAGUCCGGGUUCGGGCUCGAACUUGACCCCGAACCCCAUUGAAUUCAAUGGGGAGCAGAACUUUUGGCCACAAAAAUCCCUCUAAAAAACUCCUGGAAAGGGCUAGAGAGCUGCAAAAGGAAGUAAAAUGGGGGUAAGAGUAGGGAAAUCACUUAAAAAUAACAUGAAAAUUAAAAAUACAGCUAAUGGGAAAUCAGGAUUCAUUCCGUACAGGGACCCUGAGAAACGGCUAUCACAUGCAAGGAAGGCAGCAGGCGCGCAAAUGACCCACUCCCGACGCGGGAAGGUAGUGAC